rnacentral:lncRNA from 1 species
UUAUUUCAACAUUGAGAUUCGUGCUGAGUGCUACUGUUGCGAGAAUAAGAAUGCCGACUGUUACAAGACGAAGAGUGAGUGCCUGCAGAAGUGCCAUUCCUACAACGGUUAAUGCCCACCUUCAUCGCGGUCUCUGGGAUAGAAUUCCAUAUGCUCGGAAAAUUUGUCCGUAGGUAAUAAAAGGCACCUUAUAUGGUUUGGGCAAUUAGGUCCCAAUUAAACAUUAGAUAGCCGGCAUGUUUCCGUGGAGAUCCAACAAGGAAAAAUUUGAUGAAAGAAAUCCGAGUAACUAGUUGUCUUGCAUAUUUACAAAGUUCAAAUCCUUUGGUUGUUGUGCUUUGACUCGAUUGUCUAUUAUGCCAUUUCAUUUACUUGCACAUUGCCCACUUGUUCAUUUAACACACAUCACCCACUUGGUGAUUUGCCAGUUGUGGGCUGACAGCCAUAUAGAUUUAUUUUUUUGAGAUCUCGUCAUAUAGAAUUGUAAUAGCACUGACAUGGAAAAGGUUAAAAACUGAAAAACUGAAAAAAGUAAAUCAAACAAACAAAUGGUGUGCAAACUAAAUCAGACGGCACAAGACAAGUGAGAUUUAGUCAGGACUCUUUCAGAUGAAGAUAAGCAAAUUGCAAGAAAACAACAUGCAGAAACAAUUUUAUAUCAUAGCAUAACAUGCAAAAAAGCACAUAUAUAGUACAACGACAACCCACGUGUCUAUAUGCUAUCUAUAUGUAUAUCUAUCUAUCUAUAUCUAUCUAUCUAUCUAUCUAUCUAUCCUUACUAAUAAAAGACGGAUCAUUUAUGCCCAUCCGUCUCAUGUUUUGCAACAAAAUACCCUACUUUUUUCUUUAAUUAACCCGCGGUCAAGGUUUAGGUGAGGUUCGUCCGUUGUUUUUUUUGCAAAGAACGAGGAAACGGUUGCGUUUUGUGAGAUUCAAACUCAUGAUGUCCCCUCCAUGCCCAAAAGCCACAGCCAACUGAGUUAGCAUGCACUUGUGCUACCAAAUAGGUCCAUUAUUUCAUUAAAUUGUCCAUCCUUGAUUCUUUGCAUGAGAAUACACAAAUUUAUAUGUGAUUGCAAAUUGCCUGGAAAUCAACAAGCCAACUCGAUAACCAAGAAAUAGAGGGAGAGGAGGAAUUCACUCAAUAAAUAGUGUUAACUAGCAGGGUUUCCCGCGCAUUUGUGCGGCUAGCUGACCCUUUCCGAUGCCAACUAUAUGGCCUUUCACUAAACUAUAUUUUGAUUAAAUUUACACCUUGUAUAUGUCAUCAUAGAAAAAAUGAAAAUCGUAAUGAAACAUGCAAGUGCAUCAGGUUGUUCAUUUUAAUAUAGAAGUGCAUUAGGUUUUUAAAUAAAUUCCUUGGCAUGUCAGGUUGCAACACAGAUAAAAAACCAUGUAUGGGAUUUCAUGCCAAUCUUGGUGUUUUUCCUGUGUGAUCACUCCUCCUUUGUAUCAUUUAAUAGGUUUUCAAGAAAUUCCCUACCAAGACUUAAAUCUAAACAUGAAAUUCUGGUAUGUAAAGGUCCCUUCUUCUAGUCAUACCAAUCAACGGACGCAUUCUUAACUACCUUUUCUUGAUUAAUGCCGCCUACCCACUUAUGUAUCAAGAGAUUCACAUCUUCUAUCGUGCUUAUUUUUUCUAUUGAUAAUAUUUUACAAAAUAUUAUCUUUGACUCACUCCCUUUUAAUUUCUGAAGACUUUGAAAGUGAAGAAAUUGGUGUGACCUUGAAGACUUGGUAUUCAUUCGAGGAACAUGAAGCGUGAAGACUUUUGUUUUAGUAGUUUCAUUUUCUCUUUCUUGAGUCAUAGGAAACACUGUACUGUUAAAGGGGGUCGAGUAAAUACUAAGGAAAAAUUUCCAAGUGAUGCUCAACUUAAAAUCCUACACCUACCAAUCCCUUCGAGUGAAGCCAUUGGAAAUCUCAUGCAGUUCAGUCAGUUUCUUCAGUGACAGAGACGAAGUACUUCUGGUCUCUGAGGAAUUUGUUCUGCCUAAGGAGUUAGGAAUUCGCCAGUGCGGAUUGCCUACAAGUGAGGAACAUGAUAGCCCUGAGGAAUUAGACACUCGAAAUUCCGACCGUUGCUGUGCUAUGCGCCAGCUGUCCCAAAAUAUCUUACCCACCUAACGGUCAUAUCAUUGAAGGGCAUUUAUGUCUUAUCAUGUAGGGCUGCUCCCUAGGCUAUAAAUAGCCGCCCCCUACAACGACUAUCUGGUUGGCUGCUCCGAGAGAAACCGACACUUGUCAUUUGAGAACAUCCCAUCCUCCGAGGACUUUAAGCGAAAAUCAUCAAGUGAGGAAAACCCAAACCCAAACACCUAAAAACCCAAAGUGAUUGAGCAUCACUAAAGAGAUUGAUCCUGCGUGGAUCCGACACUUGUUACCUUUGAAGAAUGUGCAUCUUCCAGAUGGUUAGGCGUCAUGGUCUAGAGCAUCCAAGAGGAAAUUGUUGAUCGCCGAGUGACCGAGUUUGUGAAGGUUUGGAAGUCACCUGAAGACUUACCACGAGUGAUUGGGCGAGGCUGUGUGACCGUAGCGAUGACGGACGCUGAGACGAGCACGUGACACCACUACCACCCUAUCUAUCAUCGGGUAACGCGAGUCGAGGCAAACGUCGUCGCGGUAGCGACGACAGACGCCAAGACGAGCACUUGACACCCUGGCCACCCUGUCUAUCUUAGUGUAACGCGAGUCGAGGCGAACGUCAUCGCAGUAGCGAGGACGAACGACGAGACGAGCACGUGACACUACUACCACCCUCUCUUAAAAGUCGAGGCGGACGUCGUCUAGCUUGUCACGUCAAAUUGACACAAAAAAUGUUCAUUUAAAAAAAAUAUCAGAUAUUUCGGAAAAUGUUCUUGUUUUAAAGGAAAUUUCAGGAAUUCAAAAGUUGUUUAGUUCUAUAAAUAUGUUCUUGAUUUGAAUUUUUCUCAUUAAUUUUAAAACAUGUUCAUAGUAGAUCAAUUUAAUGAACAUUUCGAUUCAACCAAAAAGAUGUAGAUCAAUUUAAUUCAGCAUGUUAAUUUUUGUUUAAUAAAAUUAUGUUCAUGGAAAGUAUUAAUCGAAAGGGAAUAGAGGAAUAGGCGAAUUUAUUUUUUUCUGUGUAAAAGUAGCUAUUCAUUUUAGUUGAAAGUGCUAGUUCAUUUCAAUUAAAAGUGGGAUUUCCGGCCCAUUAGUGUCCGUGAAAAACCGCUGGCCCAGAAAGGGAAUAGGAAAACACAGGCCCAAAAGGAAAAAACGUGGAAAGGGAAUAGAGGCUAGGUGAGGUAUUGGGCCAAGGCUGGGCCGAACUCACAAAAAGUGGAGCUCUCAAGGCCGGAAUUGAUCACGAAAGGGAAUAGAAUGGGCGCAACCGUUCGCUAACUUUGUGGUUUGCUGUCGCAUCGAUCUGGUGCGAAAUGAGAGCUCCUAUGUGUCGCAUUUUACGGCAAAUUGCCACCAUAUCGCACAGGGGCGCCACCGAGUGGGCCGGCCCAUUAGCAGCACUGCAGCGAGCCAAUAAACGCACUGUAGCUAAAAACUGAGCGCCCCCGUGGAGGCAUCGACCUCGCGACCUCUGGCUAUUGAAUGACUCUCGCUAGCCACUUGAGCUGAUGGCCCGUUGGUUAUUGUUAUACACCGCGAAAUACUAAAAGCACUACUCGGAGGAGCUGAUCAAACAUGUACUGUAGCGACCGGACUGUGUACUGUUACGACAUGAACAAGGCAAGGUAGAGUUUUUUUUAGAAGCUCCAAAUCUUUCUUUGAAAAACGUGAACAUUUUUUAAAAACACAAAUAAAAAUUCAAAUUUCAAACAUUUUUCAAAACAGAUAAAAAAAGUAGAAACCACAAAAGUAUUUUGAAUUUGUGAACAUUUCUCCGAGAAAGGGAACAUUUUUUAAAUUCCGAACAAAUUUUGAAAGCCUGAACAUUAUUUGAAACUCCCCGAACAAUUUUUGAAUUUGUGAACAAAUUUUGAAAACGAGAACAUUUUUUGAAAUUGUGAACAAAAUUUUGAAACCACAAACAUUUUUUGAAAUUGGAAGCAAUUUUGGAAUUUGUGACUUUUUUUCAAAAUGAGAACUUUUUUGAAAUUCUGAAUUAUAUUUGAAAUUUUCAAAAAAGUUCGAAUAGAAAAAUAAACUUAAAAAAGAAAAAGAGAAAAAUGAAAAAGAAAACAAAACAAUAUUCAAAAAUUCAUGAACGUUGUUUUGAAAAUAUUUAGAAAAGAAGCGAACAAUUUUUGAAAUUUCUGAACAAAAUUUGAAAACAGGAACAUUUAAAAAAAAUAAGGAUCAUGUUUUGAAAUUCCCAAACAAUUUUAAAAUGCAAACAUUUUUUGAAUGUAGAAACAAAAUUUGAAAACAGGAACAUUUUCCAAAAUUUGAACUUUGUUUAGGAACCUGAAUAUUUCUAGAAAAAGAAAAAUGAAAUUGAAUAAAAAGGAAACGGAAAAAGAAAAACCUGACCACAAAGAAAUAGAAAAACGAAAAGAAAAGAAAAAACCGUAUAAAAGAAAAAAAAACCCGGUUCAGGAAACCUUCUGGAAGGUUCCCAAAGCCGGAUGGGGUAGUGCCAAUACGAUCUACUCAAAUGGGCCGGCCUAGUCGUGUCGAUCGGCCGAUCGCCUGUGCGUUGCCCCGGCAACUUGCCGCAACGAGCGACAAACAAGAAAUUCCGUGCGAAAAAUCAAGUGCGCCUCUUAGGACGCGCGCUAGCGACGCCGCAUUGGAGUUCUCUCUAUACGUAUACUUGCUAGCGUUGAUCAAGCACGGAAAUAAGCGAGCUCACUUCUCUCUAUUAGCUAGCUAACACAAUAUAUGAAACCCCCUCUCCCUUCUUUCAAAAAAAAACAAAACCCCUGCUCCUGCCAGCUGCUGACGCGUGGAUGCCUUUUGGUACCGGUUGGUGUUACCAACCGGGACAAAAGGUGCUCCAGCCUAGGCACCUCGCAGCGGCCACGUGGAGCCCGUUGCGAAUCGGGACUAAAGGUUUUGGGCUUUAGUCCCAACCCUUUAGUCCCGGUUCCAGAACCGGGGCUAAGGGGCCUCUGAAACCGGGACAAAUGGGCCGGUUUCUAUGAGUCGAAGCUCCAUCCUCCUUUCUGGUCCUCUGUUCCUUUUCUCAUAUCAGCUUUCAUCCAUCUCCCAUACUGUUGCACCUCACCUCUCCCAAGUCCAAUAGAACACGCCUUGUUCACGUGUCCAAUUAUACCACACGUGUAACAAAAAUCAGGGAGGUACUCAUACUCUAGGGGGCACCAUUUUUGCUCAUCAUCUUUCUUCUUUCUUUUAUCCACGUCCAUCACUUCUGCAGACUCAUUGUCUUCUCCCGUUCAAUAUCCAAAGUGAUUCCUCUCAACAGUGGCUUUGUAAUGUCUAGUCUAACUUUCAGAACUUCCAGCCACAUUAUCAUCAUCCCCCUGGUUACCUCCAUGAACUCGCCAGUCUCGUCACCAAUGAUACCUCCGUUUUCAUCACUCAUGAAACCGAGCGGCAUCUUGGUCACCCUGACCCAAAUAAGGAUGAUAGUGAACUCAUACUCUCCUAGCGUUUUAGCUGGGUCGAAAUCUACCAUCACAAUCAGGUCCUUGCCCACCAUCCAUGGCCCUUCCUCCAAUGCUUUCCUCUUCCCCGCUGCUUGCAAGAAGGUGAAAAGAAAGGUGUUGUCCUCUAACCCCUUGCACUUGAUUCCCUUGAUCGGACACCACACUCUUCCGAGGGAUUUGAUCAUACCUUCCAUAUAUACUGGUUUCUCGGACAUAACCUUACCGAUCGCCUGUGGAUCUUCCGUUCCCGUUCUCCUCAACCCGCCUCUUCCGAUCUUGACUCCCUUCUUCUCUGCUUCUGGCAACCGCAACUUCUGCAUCAAACCUUCCACUUUCUCCAUUGUGUCGAGGACUUGCAUCGAUCUAUGGUUUACUAGGUGGUUGUAUUAUGAAUGAAUGCCCUAGCAACACUCGUAAGGCUUUUGGUGGAUGGGUGAGCGGUCUCGAGAUCAAUCCAGCAAGGAUCGCCGAGGCUAGGGGGAGAGUUUGCUGGCGUAGGCCAGAGACGGGGUCGCCUGAGGGGACUCUAGGGUUUACCAGGAGUCACCGCAGAAUCCCCUGGGAAUCGCCCAAGCGCCAAUCGUGGAACCGUCACCCAAGGACGGACGGGUUAAGGAUGAUAAUUAAAGCGGACUUUGAUAGAGAGACACGUGAGAAAUAGAGUGAUAGAGAGAGAUACGUGAAAAUUAAAGCGGUUUUAAUUUCUUUCUUUUCUGUAAUUAAAGAGAUACGCAUGAGAAAUAGAGAGAUAAGAGAGAUACGUGAGAAUUAAAGCUGUUUUAAUUUUUUCCGUUUCUAUAAUUAAAGAUCUGAUCUACACAGUUAUAAUCUUGACCCGCAAAAUCAACGGCCUCCAUUUUCUAUUUUUCUCUAAUUAAUGUGGGAAUUUCUUGGGAGUGCCUAUUAGUAUAGGUAUAUAUAUGUGCAAAAAAUCUCGACAUUAAUGAACAUAUAUCUGGUGCACUUGCAAUCUUUUGUAGUACAUUAAUGAAUAUUUAAAGUAUUUUCCAACUCUUGCUAUUUAUAGACUUGUCAUCCGUGUCUGCCACAUUUGGAGUCCAACUAUUUCCUACUGGAACCUUACACUCCACUAGAACUGAGUUUGUCAAGUAACAGAUAACCAAUAUGAGAGGGAGCAGCCUAGUGCAGGGGACGAUGAUAUUCUUCAUUGGAUGCCUUGUGCUUUGUGCACAGUGUAAGUAUAUAUCAUCAUCGUCUUUAGAAUCUUGUGUUAACUUCUUGCCACUAAUUCUUCGGAUCAGACAUACAUACACACACACAUCUGCGGUACUGCAUACUAAGGUUAAAUAUACUAUACAGGUGCUCUCGAUAAUAAGCAAAGGAUGGUCAACCAAGAUGAUCAUGCGGCGAACACAAGUACCAACGCUACCAUCAUCAACUCAACAUCUGUAGGCGAGAGCAAGAAAACCGAGAAAUUUUGCAGCCUCUUUCUCGUAUGUUAUUUCAACAUUGAGAUUCGUGCUGAGUGCUACUGUUGCGAGAAUAAGAAUGCCGACUGUUACAAGACGAAGAGUGAGUGCCUGCAGAAGUGCCAUUCCUACAACGGUUAAUGCCCACCUUCAUCGCGGUCUCUGGGAUAGAAUUCCAUAUGCUCGGAAAAUUUGUCCGUAGGUAAUAAAAGGCACCUUAUAUGGUUUGGGCAAUUAGGUCCCAAUUAAACAUUAGAUAGCCGGCAUGUUUCCGUGGAGAUCCAACAAGGAAAAAUUUGAUGAAAGAAAUCCGAGUAACUAGUUGUCUUGCAUAUUUACAAAGUUCAAAUCCUUUGGCUGUUGUGCUUUGACUCGAUUGUCUAUUAUGCCAUUUCAUUUACUUGCACAUUGCCCACUUGUUCAUUUAACACACAUCACCCACUUGGUGAUUUGCCAGUUGUGGGCUGACAGCCAUAUAGAUUUAUUUUUUUGAGAUCUCGUCAUAUAGAAUUGUAAUAGCACUGACAUGGAAAAGGUUAAAAACUGAAAAACUGAAAAAAGUAAAUCAAACAAACAAAUGGUGUGCAAACUAAAUCAGACGGCACAAGACAAGUGAGAUUUAGUCAGGACUCUUUCAGAUGAAGAUAAGCAAAUUGCAAGAAAACAACAUGCAGAAACAAUUUUAUAUCAUAGCAUAACAUGCAAAAAAGCACAUAUAUAGUACAACGACAACCCACGUGUCUAUAUGCUAUCUAUAUGUAUAUUUAUCUAUCUAUAUCUAUCUAUCUAUCUAUCUAUCUAUCCUUACUAAUAAAAGACGGAUCAUUUAUGCCCAUCCGUCUCAUGUUUUGCAACAAAAUACCCUACUUUUUUCUUUAAUUAACCCGCGGUCAAGGUUUAGGUGAGGUUCGUCCGUUGUGUUUUUUGCAAAGAACGAGGAAACGGUUGCGUUUUGUGAGAUUCAAACUCAUGAUGUCCCCUCCAUGCCCAAAAGCCACAGCCAACUGAGUUAGCAUGCACUUGUGCUACCAAAUAGGUCCAUUAUUUCAUUAAAUUGUCCAACCUUGAUUCUUUGCAUGAGAAUACACAAAUUUAUAUGUGAUUGCAAAUUGCCUGGAAAUCAACAAGCCAACUCGAUAACCAAGAAAUAGAGGGAGAGGAGGAAUUCACUCAAUAAAUAGUGUUAACUAGCCGGGUUUCCCGCGCAUUUGUGCGGCUAGCUGACCCUUUCCGAUGCCAACUAUAUGGCCUUUCACUAAACUAUAUUUUGAUUAAAUUUACACCUUGUAUAUGUCAUCAUAGAAAAAAUGAAAAUCGUAAUGAAACAUGCAAGUGCAUCAGGUUGUUCAUUUUAAUAUAGAAGUGCAUUAGGUUUUUAAAUAAAUUCCUUGGCAUGUCAGGUUGCAACACAGAUAAAAAACCAUGUAUGGGAUUUCAUGCCAAUCUUGGUGUUUUUCCUGUGUGAUCACUCCUCCUUUGUAUCAUUUAAUAGGUUUUCGAGAAAUUCCCUACCAAGACUUAAAUCAAAACAUGAAAUUCUGGUAUGUAAAGGUCCCUUCUUCUAGUCAUACCAAUCAACGGACGCAUUCUUAACUACCUUUUCUUGAUUAAUGCCGCCUACCCACUUAUGUAUCAAGAGAUUCACAUCUUCUAUCGUGCUUAUUUUUUCUAUUGAUAAUAUUUUACAAAAUAUUAUCUUUGACUCACUCCCUUUUAAUUUCUGAAGACUUUGAAAGUGAAGAAAUUGGUGUGACCUUGAAGACUUGGUAUUCAUUCGAGGAACAUGAAGCGUGAAGACUUUUGUUUUAGUAGUUUCAUUUUCUCUUUCUUGAGUCAUAGGAAACACUGUACUGUUAAAGGGGGUCGAGUAAAUACUAAGGAAAAAUUUCCAAGUGAUGCUCAACUUAAAAUCCUACACCUACCAAUCCCUUCGAGUGAAGCCAUUGGAAAUCUCAUGCAGUUCAGUCAGUUUCUUCAGUGACAGAGACGAAGUACUUCUGGUCUCUGAGGAAUUUGUUCUGACUGAGGAGUUAGGAAUUCGCCAGUGCGGAUUGCCUACAAGUGAGGAACAUGAUAGCCCUGAGGAAUUAGACACUCAAAAUUCCGACCGUUGCUGUGCUAUGCGCCAGCUGUCCCAAAAUAUCUUACCCACCUAACGGUCAUAUCAUUGAAGGGCAUUUAUGUCUUAUCAUGUAGGGCUGCUGCCUAGGCUAUAAAUAGCCGCCCCCUACAACCACUAUCUGGUUGGCUGCUCCGAGAGAAACCGACACUUGUCAUUUGAGAGCAUCCCAUCCUCCGAGGACUUUAAGCGAAAAUCAUCAAGUGAGGAAAACCCAAACCCAAACACCUAAAAACCCGAAGUGAUUGAGCAUCACUAAAGAGAUUGAUCCUGCGUGGAUCCGACACUUGUUACCUCUGAAGAAUGUGCAUCUUCCAGACGGUUAGGCGUCAUGGUCUAGAGCAUCCAAGAGGAAAUUGUUGAUCGCCGAGUGACCGAGUUUGUGAAGGUUUGGAAUUCACCUGAAGACUUACCACGAGUGAUUGGGCGAGGCUGUGUGACCGUAGCUCAAGGAGAAUACGGUGAGGACUGUGUGUCCGGGACUAUGUGUCCUCAGGUUUAAAUACCUAGCCGCUCCAACCAGACGUACAACUGUCAUAGCAGUUGGAACUGGUCUACCAAAUCAUUGUCUUCACCAACCCUACUGGUUCUAUUUCCUCAACUCUUUCAUUUCCUCAUUACUGUGUUGUGUGCUUGUUCAUAUCUUUUUGAAGACUUUGACUGAAGACUUUCUCAAUUUCCUCAGUUUAAUUUCUUCAGUCUGUUUUGUCUUCAUCAUGUUUUAUCCUAUGCUUACGCUUCCUGUACUCUGUGUCUGUUUUCGUUUCAUCAUGAUGACCAUGUUUAUGUUAUGUCAUGUAUGGAUCUGAGUACUUAUUCCGCUGAAGUAGUUCUUCGCUAAGGAAUUUCCUCACCCUGAAAUUCCUCAGUGAAGAAUUCAUAAAAAUCGCCUAUUCACGCCCCCUCUAGUUGACUUAACGAACUUUCAUCGUCACAUUAGCAACGCCGCACGCCGAGACGAGCACGUGACACCAAGGCCACCCUAUCUAUCUUACGGUAACGCGAGUCGAGGCGAAUGUCGCCGCGGUAGCGACGACGGACGCCGAGACGAGUACGUGACACCACUGCCACCCUGUCUAUCUUAGGGCAACGCGACUAGACGCGGACGUUGUCGCGGUAGCGAUGAAGGACGCCGAGACGAGCACGUGACACCAUUGCCCCAGUCUAUCUUAGGGUAACGCGAGUCGAGGCGGAUGUCGUCGCGGUAGCGGCGAUGGACGCCGAGACGAGCACGUGACACCACUGCCACCCUGUCUAUCUUAGGGUAAUGCGAGUCGAGGGGGAUGUCGUUGUGGUAGCGACGACGGACGCCAAGACGAGCAUGUGACACCACUGCCACCCUGUGUAUCUUAGGGUAACGCGGGUCGAGGCGGACAUCGUCGCGGUAGCGGCAACGCACACUGAGACGAGCACAUGACACCACUGCCACCCUGUCUUAGGGUAACGCAAGUGUCGAGGCGGACGUCGUCGCGGUAGCGACGACGAACGCCAAGACGAGGACAUGACGCUAGGGCCACCUUGUCUAUCUUAGGGUAACGCGAGUCGAGGCGGACGUCGUCGCGGUAGCGACGACGGACGACGAGACGAGCACGUGACACCACUGCCACCCUGUCUAUCUUAGGGCAACGCGACUCGACUGCCAUGUGAUAUAGGUCAGAACUUUUCUGAAUACUUAGUGUCGCCAUGUGAUCCAGACGAAUAAUUAAGAAAGUAUAUAAUUUUACAACCAUGGAUACGCGAGUCGAGGCGGACGUCGUCCCGAUAGUGAUGGCGGACGCCGAGAUGAGCACGUGGCACCACUGCCACCCUGUCUUAGGGUAACGCGAGUCGAGGCGGACGUCGGCGCAUUAGCGACGACGGACGCCGACACGAGCACGUGACACCAGGGCCACCCUGUCUAUCUUACGGUAACACGAGUCAAGGAGGACGUCGUUGUGGUAGCGACGACGGACGCCGAGACGAGCACGUGACACCACUGUCACCCUGUCUAUCUUAGGGCAACGCGAAUCGACGCGGACGUCGCCACGGUAGCGACGACGGACGUCGAGACGAGCACGUGACACCACUGCCACCAUGUCUAUCUUAGGGUAACGAGAGUCGAGGCGAACAUCAUCGCAGAUGCGACGAUGGAUGCCGAGACGAGCACGUGACACCACUACCACCCUAUCUUAGCGUAAUGAGAGUUGAGGUGGACGUUGUCGCGAUAGCGACUACGGAAGCCGAGAUGAGCACGUGACACCACUGCCACCCUGUCUUAGGGUAAUGCGAGUCGAGGCAGACGUCGUCGCAUUAGCAACGCCGGACCGCGAGAUGAGCACGUGACACCAAGGCCACCCUGUCUAUCUUACGCUAACGCGAGUCGAGGCGGACGGCGUCGCGGUAGCGACGACGGACGCCGAGACGAGCAUGUGACACCACUGUCACCCUAUCUAUCUUAGGGAAACGUGAGUCGACGCGGACGUCGUCGUGGUAGNNNNNNNNNNNNNNNNNNNNNNNNNNNNNNNNNNNNNNNNNNNNNNNNNNNNNNNNNNNNNNNNNNNNNNNNNNNNNNNNNNNNNNNNNNNNNNNNNNNNNNNNNNNNNNNNNNNNNNNNNNNNNNNNNNNNNNNNNNNNNNNNNNNNNNNNNNNNNNNNNNNNNNNNNNNNNNNNNNNNNNNNNNNNNNNNNNNNNNNNNNNNNNNNNNNNNNNNNNNNNNNNNNNNNNNNNNNNNNNNNNNNNNNNNNNNNNNNNNNNNNNNNNNNNNNNNNNNNNNNNNNNNNNNNNNNNNNNNNNNNNNNNNNNNNNNNNNNNNNNNNNNNNNNNNNNNNNNNNNNNNNNNNNNNNNNNNNNNNNNNNNNNNNNNNNNNNNNNNNNNNNNNNNNNNNNNNNNNNNNNNNNNNNNNNNNNNNNNNNNNNNNNNNNNNNNNNNNNNNNNNNNNNNNNNNNNNNNNNNNNNNNNNNNNNNNNNNNNNNNNNNNNNNNNNNNNNNNNNNNNNNNNNNNNNNNNNNNNNNNNNNNNNNNNNNNNNNNNNNNNNNNNNNNNNNNNNNNNNNNNNNNNNNNNNNNNNNNNNNNNNNNNNNNNNNNNNNNNNNNNNNNNNNNNNNNNNNNNNNNNNNNNNNNNNNNNNNNNNNNNNNNNNNNNNNNNNNNNNNNNNNNNNNNNNNNNNNNNNNNNNNNNNNNNNNNNNNNNNNNNNNNNNNNNNNNNNNNNNNNNNNNNNNNNNNNNNNNNNNNNNNNNNNNNNNNNNNNNNNNNNNNNNNNNNNNNNNNNNNNNNNNNNNNNNNNNNNNNNNNNNNNNNNNNNNNNNNNNNNNNNNNNNNNNNNNNNNNNNNNNNNNNNNNNNNNNNNNNNNNNNNNNNNNNNNNNNNNNNNNNNNNNNNNNNNNNNNNNNNNNNNNNNNNNNNNNNNNNNNNNNNNNNNNNNNNNNNNNNNNNNNNNNNNNNNNNNNNNNNNNNNNNNNNNNNNNNNNNNNNNNNNNNNNNNNNNNNNNNNNNNNNNNNNNNNNNNNNNNNNNNNNNNNNNNNNNNNNNNNNNNNNNNNNNNNNNNNNNNNNNNNNNNNNNNNNNNNNNNNNNNNNNNNNNNNNNNNNGCGUCGCGCUAGCGACGACGGACGCCGAGACGAGCACAUGACACCAAUACCACCAUGUCUAUCUUAGGGAAACGCGAGUCGACGCGGAUGUCGUCGUGGUAGCGACGCGGACACCGAGGCAAGCACGUGACACCACUGCCACCCUGUCUAUCUUAGGGUAACACGAGUCGUGGCGGAUGUCGUCGUGGUAGCGACGACGGACGCCGAGACUAGCACGUGACACCACUGCCACCCUGUCUUAGGGUAACGCGAGGCGAUGCGAAUGUCGUCGCGGUAGCGACGAUGGACUCCUAUACGAGCAUGUGACACCACUGCCACCCUCUCUUAGGGUAACACGAGUAGAGGCGGAGGUCGUCGCGGAAGCGGCGACGGAUGCCUAGGCGAGAACGUGACACCACUGCCACCUUGUCUUAGCGUAACGCAAGUCGAGGCGGACGUCGUCCCGAUAGCGACGACGGACGCCACGGCGAGCACGUGACACCACUGCCACCCUUUCUUAGCGGAACACGAGUCGAGGCGGACGUCGUCGCGAUAGCGAUGACGGACGCCAAGACGAGCAUGUGACACCGCUGCCACCCUGUCUUAGGGUAACACGAGUUGAGGCGGACGUCGUCCCGUUAGCAACGACGGACGCCGUGACGAAAGUGGAGCGCUCAAGGCCGGAAUCGACCGCGAAAGGGAAUAGAAUGGGCGCAACCAUUCGCUAACUUUGUCGUUUGCUGUCGCAUCGAUCUGGUGUGAAAUGAGAGCUCCUAUGUGUCGCAUUUUGCGGGGCGCCACCGAGUGGGCCGGCCCAUUAGUAGCACUGCAGCAAGCCAAUAAACGCACUGUAGCUAAAAACUGAGCGCCCCGUGGGGACGGACGCCGAGACGAGCACGUGACACCACUGCCACCCUGUCUUAAAAGUCGAGGCGGACGUCGUCUAGCAUGUCAUGUCAAAUUGACACAAAAAAUGUUCAUUUAAAAAAAAUAUUAGAUAUUUCAGAAAAUGUUCUUGUUUUUCAGGAAAUUUCAGGAAUUCAAAAGUUGUUUAUUUCUACAAAUUUGUUCUUGAUUUGAAUUUUUUCUCAUUAAUUUUAAAACAUGUUCAUAGUAGAUCAAUUUAAUGAACAUUUCGAUUCAACCAAAAAGCUGUAGAUCAAUUUAAUUCAGUAUGUUAAUUUAUGUUUAAUAAAAUUAUGUUCAUGAAAAGUAUUAAUCGAAAGGGAAUAGAGGAAUAUGCGAAUUUAUUUUUUGUGUGUAAAAGUAGCUAUUCAUUUUAGUUGAAAGUGCUAGUUCAUUUCAAUUAAAAGUGGGAUUUCCGGCCCGUUAUUGUCCCUGAAAAACCACUGGCCCAGAAAGGGAAUAGGAAAACACAGGCCCAAAAGAAAAAAACAUGGAAAGGGAAUAGAGGCUAGGUGAGGUAUUGGGCCAAGGCUGGGCCGAACUCAUGAAAAGUGGAGCGCUCAAGGCCGGAAUCGAUCACGAAAGGGAAUAGAAUGGGCGCAACCAUUCGCUAACUUUGUCGUUUGCUGUCGCAUCGAUCUGGUGCGAAAUGAGAGCUCCUAUGUGUCGCAUUUUGCGGGGCGCCACCGAGUGGGCCGGCCCAUUAGCAGCACUGCAGCGAGCCAAUAAACGCACUGUAGCUAAAAACUGAGCGCCCCCGUGGGGGGAGCGAACUAGCGACCUCUGGCUACUGAAUGACUCUCGCUAGCCACUUGAGCUGAUGACCCGUUGGUUAUUGUUAUACACCGCAAAAUACUAAAAGCACUACUGGGAGGAGCAGAUCAAACAUGUACUGUAGCGACCGGACCGUGUACUGUAACGACACGAACAAGGCAAGGUAGAGUUUCUUUUAGAAGCUCCAAAUCUUUCUUUGAAAAACAUGAACAUUUUUUAAAAAUACAAAUAAAAUUUCAAAUUUCAAACAUUUUUCAAAACAGAUAAAAAAUUUAGAAAACCACAAAAGUAUUUAGAAUUUGUGAACAUUCUUUUGAAAAAGGGAACAUUUUUUAAAUUCCGAACAAAUUUUGAAAGCCUGAACAUUAUUUGAAACUCCCCGAACAAUUUUUGAAUUUGUGAACAAAUUUUGAAAACGAGAACAUUUUUUGAAAUUGUGAACAAAUUUUUUAAACCACAUACAUUUUUUGAAAUUGUAAACACUUUUUGAAUUUGUGAAAAUAUUUCAAAAUGAGAACAUUUUUUGAAAUUCUGAAUUAUAUUUGAAAUUUUCAAAAAAGUUCGAAUAGAAAAAUAAACUUAAAAAAUAAUAAGAGAAAAAUGAAAUAGAAAACAAAAAAAUAUUCAGAAAUUCAUGAACGUUGUUUUGAAAAUAUUUAGAAAAGAAGCCAACAAUUUUUGAAAUUUCUGGACAAAAUUUGAAAACAGGAACAUUUUUGGAAAUUCCGAAACAAUUUUAAAAUGCAAACAUUUUUUGAAUGUAGAAACAAAAUUUGAAAAAAGGAACAUUUUCCAAAUUUUGAACUUUUUUUAGGAAUCUGAAUAUUUCUAGAAAAAGAAAAAUGAAAUUGAAUAAAAAGAAAACGGAAAAAGAAAAAGAAAAACCUGACCACAAAGAAAUAGAAAAAAAGAAAAGAAAAGAAAAGAAAAAACCGUAGAAAAGAAAAAAACUGGUUCAGGGAACCUUCUGGAAGGUUCCCAAAACCAGAUGGGGUAGUGCCAACGCGAUCUACUCAAAUAGGCUGGCCCAGUCGUGUUGGUCGGCCGAUCGCCUGUGCAUUGCCCUGGCAACUUGCCGCGACGAGCGGCAAAUAGGAAAUUCCGUGCGAAAAAUCGAGGGCGCCUCUUAGGACGCGCGCGCUAGUGACGCCGCAUUGGAGUUCUCUCUAUACGGAUACUUGCUAGCGUUGACCAAGCACGGAAAUAAGCGAGGUCACUUCUCUCUAUUAGCUAGCUAACACAAUAUAUGAAACCCCCUCUCCCUUCUUUAAAAAAAACCAAAACCCCUGCUCCUGCUAGCUGCUGACGCGUGGAUGCCUUUUGGUACCGGUUGCUGUUACCAACCGGGACUAAAGGUGCUCCUGCCUAGGCGCCCCGCAGCGGCCACGUGGAGCCCCUUCUGUCCCGGUUCAUAAGCGAACCGGGACUAAAGGUUUUGGGCUUUAGUCCCGAACCUUUAGUCCCGGUUCCAGAACCGGGGCUAAAACUACAAAAAAAAUACACUUCCGUGGUGAUACACGUUUGUCACAGUAGGUCGCAUUUUCUGUCAUGCAUGUACAUCCAUGACGAUUUUAUGACAGAAUCAAGGUAGUCAUACCUGUGCUGUCGUAGAAGUGUUCCAUGACAUUACCAAAAUUAUCAUCACGGAAAUGUCCACUUCCAUGACGAUAAAUCCCGCGUCACAGAAGUGCUUUCGUCAAGGGUGACCGACACGUGGCAUCCACCGUAACGGAACGCCGUUAAGCUAUCGGGUCGGGUUUUGGAUCCGAUAACCCGUUAACAACCCCGACCAAUGGGGAUUUUCCACGUGUAAAAUCAUCAUUGGCUGGAGGAAACACGUGUCGGCUCAUCGUUGGGACAGAUGUCAUCCACUCAAUGGACAGAAGGCGCCUAUGAUACGUCGACACGUGGCACGGCCCAACAGAGGCCCAUUCCUGUGAAAAGGCCGGCCCGUUUGACUUGGUCAAAAGGUGGCGGGCCGGCCCAUGUAAAGCCUGUUAACUGCCUGUUCGCAUAUAGCCCAUUUACAGCCCGCUAACCCAAGGCCCGUUACGCCCUAUCCGAAUUAGGCCCAGUAGCGUCAUCUGGGCCACCCAAUAUGAUUCCAGCCCGUUUUCACUUCUGGCCCAUGUAUGGCCCAUGACGUCUUUCGGCCCAUAUGAGGCCCUAUGUAACUCUUGGCCUAUUAACGGCCCGUGGUGAAACUGGCCCGUAAUGAACAGUGUAUCACUUUACACCCAUUAACGGCCCGUGGUGAAACUGGCCCGUAAUGAACAGUGUAUCACUUUAUACCCAUUAACGGCCCGUUAUCCCGUUGGGCCGUUUCCAUCCCAUGUUAUCUUUCGGCCUUCUCAGAGCCCAUUUAUUCUUGGGCUCAUUUACAGCAUUCGUUUACUUAUGGCCCGUUACUGUCAUUUUCUGCUUGUGGGCCAAAUUCAGCCCGUGGUUACAGUCCGCCCGUUUGUGGUCCGUUAAUACGUUGGGCCGUUUUCAUAGCGUCAUCAAAUACGGCCUAUUAACGAUGGUCCGUUAUGGUCGGCCCAUGAACGGACGAUUCCAACUCUAGCCCGUUUACGGCCAUAAUGCGGCAUGUUAUUGGCCCAGGUUUGGCCAAUCGAUCAUACUGCCCGUAUAAGGCCCAUUGAUGAUACGGCCCGUAGAAGGCCCAUUGUUUCUACGGCCCAUAGAAGGCCCAUUGUUUCUACGGCCCGUAGAAGGCCCACUGUUUCUAUGGCCCGUAGAAGGCCCACUGUUUCUACGGCCCGUAGGAGGCCCAGUGUCACUACAGUAAAUAUUAGCCCAUGGUUAUUGUGGCCUAGUUUUAAAAAAUAGGCUAUUGCAGCCACUAGCAAACCGCGGAAAAAGAACUGCAAUGACUGCAAGCAAACAAAUAAACAAGACAACAAGGAAAUAAACAAGCAAGCAACUUAUGCUAGGCUAUCACACAUAUUACAUCCACUGGGCAUCAAAGUUCGCCACCAGUGCAAAUAAACGCGCCGACAAAAGAAUAUACAAAACUGAGAGCACUUCAGGAGGCACUAGGCCUGGCCAUGUCGGGCCCCCCAAACAGCCGAAGAAGCUGAGUAGACCUCGGUUGUGUCAACGAUAGAUGCAUCAACACUAGAUUUAAGGCAUGAUGGUGCGCAUGGCAGUCCUCUGACAUCUUCAUUGCAUCUUUGACUUCAAGUCGGAGCUGAGCUGAAGCAAGCCUUUCCGCUUUAAGUUGAGACUGAAGAAGUCGAACUGAUUGAGGCAGCGACUGCACAGAGGUUGUCUCACACCUGCUGGUGAGUAGCUUCAACUCACUGUCUUCAUCAAGACAGGACCUCGGGGUCAUCUCGCUGUCCUCAAGAUGGUUUGGCUCACUAUCUUCCCUAAAGUUCUGCCUGGCGUAAGAGAUACGAGUCUGAAAGAGAAACAAGGAGACACGUAACAGGUUUCACAAUUAUAUAAGCAAAUAAAUGGAUCUGUUCUGCAUAAGGAACAUGUUUUUACAACUACAAUUUGAAACUGGUAGUUGUUGCAAACAUCCAAUCAGAUGUAAACAGCAAAGCAAACAGCAGUGGAGGAAAUGAUGCCUAUCCAAAUCUAUACUAGAACAAAGUUUGAAGGCUUGAGAAGGAUGAACUUACAUUACAUGUUAACACGGGCUGGACAAAGUCCUUCUCCAUGUUGAUGGAAGGAUAAUUCAAUAAAUUCCCCAAAGAAAAUUCUUUAUAAGCGUUGCCAUUAUUCUACAUUUUGCAAAGAGUAAAUAUAGAUCAAAUAAUAUUGGAAGAAACAGAGGAUAAUGAAGCUCAGGUGCAGACUGAUGAUACAUAAUCAAAUAGCAAUUAAUUAAGUACAACGUUACAAGGCAAAAGGGAGAGAGGUACUGACAAGAGCAAUGCAGAGCCCAUUAUUGUUUUGAGAUUGUAUGAUCCUUUGAGCAAGGAGAUUCAUCUGAAAUUAGUUUUCAUACAAGAGAGAAGGUAAGGCACAAGAAAAAUUUAGGAGUUCAAAUUUUGAAUUGAUAUCAUAGACAGUACCUGACGCUGGGCUCCCAGCAGUUCUAAUAGGGGUUUGGCCACUGGAGUAGGGGUAAAGUGUGGUACAGUUGGGCCUGUGUUUUCUGUGGCUGCUGAUCUAUCUGAUUUAACAGGUAUCACUACCUUUUCCAAAUACCUAGUUUGUACUCCUUGAGGAUCUGCACUCACCCUCUUCCUUUUGGAAAUCUAUUACGAAAGAACAACAUUUGACUGGAAAAACAUAGUGUGACGAGACAUGGAAUAGGUACAGAAAAUGGAUAGGUAUGGCAUAUACUCAUAUAUGAUGCUUAAACUAAGCAGAUGGUGUAACAAAGUAGAAGUAAUGCAAGCGGUCAGAUGCAAAAUAUGCGCGACCAAUACAACUUUGCAAAGUUAGAGCAAGCACCUUGAUGGGUGAAUAAGAUAGGCCAUCCUCCACCAUGCCAAGUUUGUUAGCCAGUGAAUCGUUCCGCAAUAUUCCUCUCAUGCGCCCAUUCUCAUAUUCAUUUUGAUAAUGUUCAAUAUCUGACAUGCAUGAAAACAUAAAAACAAGUGAGAUUUUCUUUGUAAUGCAGAAGUGAUUCUAAUCCAAUACUGCCUCCCUGUAAACCCCUUUGUGCUAUCUCUGCAAUUCUUUUAAAAGAUGCCAUGCAUGCUGUAAUUUGUUGUGUGCAUUAAUAUAAUGUCGCCUACUACUCAAAAUAUGAGAGCUCCAGAAGUGAUGACACUUCGCAGAUGAUAGCUUCAACAUAUAGUAAAGAAGAACAAGUCGACCUGACCUGACAUAUUCAAAAUAUACUAAGGGAGAACAACUCGACCUGACCAGUCGACCGCAAGGGAAGAGUAUCAUCUUAAAGAAGAGCAGAAGAGCAAGCAGAUUGAAGAUAUUACAAGUCUUUCAAUACAAUGUCGGUUGGCCACCCAUGAUGAACCAGAGCGCACAGAGAAAUACUAUUCUUUCUGGUCUCUCCAUAUGUGGCUCACAUGCAUUUCGAAACUAAAGAAGGAACAUUUAGCUAACCAAUUAAACAUCUCUCAGUUUUACUAAUAUCAGCAAUAAUAUCAUAUAUGAAUUUGUACAACUAAGCUUUUUUAGCUCGAUGGGUGGAGCAGUGCUAUUACGACACGAACCACGUAGGCUGAUUGUGGUCAUCAUAAAAUGGGGAAAACAUAAGCAUGAUGAGUACAGUGUUGACCGUGGCAGUGGGAUGGCAGAUCUGAAGCUGCAAACCGCGCAAAGGGUAGUUAGCAACCGAUGUUUGCUUUGAAAUAACAACUAAGAUUUGGUAUGGACAAGAAAGUACGGUCAACAAGUGACAAAGAAAUGCAAUUAUGCUGUCUCUCUAUAUGUCGCGACAUGCAUUUGGAAACUCAAGUGGGACCUUUAGCUAACCAAUUAAAUGUGUCGGUUAACUAAUAUCAGUAUCAUAUCACAAUCAUAUUUGAACAACUAAGCUUUCGAAUUCUGAGUGUUGUGUUGUUUAGCUUGAAGGGUGGAGUAAUGCUAGUACGACAGAAAGGACCUACGCAGAUCAGAGUAGAGUAGAUAAAAGGGGAAAACCCUAAGCAUCAAGAGAAAAAUCAGGAAAGUGGAACUAGCUGGACCAGUGGGUGGCGCACAUGCUUUUUGAAACGAAUAUAGGAACAUUAGGUGACCAAUUAAACGUUCUCUGUUUUAGUAAUAUGAGCAUCAUAUCAGAUUCGUAUUUCAACACGUAAGCUUUGGGUUGAGGUCUUGAGGAGCAGUGCUAGCACGACACGAAGCACCUACGAUGAUGGUAGUGAAUAUAAAGGGGGGAAACCAUAAGCUUUACGAGUAUAGUGCCCGUGCCAUGGAGGAUCUGAAGGUGCAAACCGGACAAAGCUACUUCACAACCAAUGUUUGCUUUCAACUAGCCACUAUGAUUUGGUACGGACAAGAAAAGUAAAGUAAACAAAUUACGGUCUAUUUUCCGGGUGAGAUCAAUAACUUAAGCACAUAUGGAAGAGUACCACCUCUCUUGCGACGCCGUGUAGGCCUAUGCUGAUACGUUGAGGGUGCUGCGGGUGCGAUGGCUAUCGGCGGCGGGGAAGAAGACUUUAGACGGCAGACGACCGGGUCAGGGGAUAUAUCCUGUUGCCGUGGACGAGGCGGUCGUAGGAGCGGCAACGGCAAGGUGGACGACGGCACCGAUGAAGCGAGAGGAGGCGAUGAAAGGAUCCUGGUCCAACGCCGUGGAUGAGAGACGUCCAUCUCUUGCAGUGGACGACGGGGUAGGGGUAGCGGCUCCGGCAAGGUGGAAGAUGGGGUGGCGGACGGAGGAGGCUGGCCGCAGUGCGGAGGUUGUCGUGCCGCCGACGGUGUAUGAAUGGGGAAAUGGAGGGGAGGGGGGAUCUCAAACUUUGGGACGCGCUUCUCUGAAAUGGGGGAAAGUUACGAACUUAUCCCCCGUUUAAAAUUUCGGACAUCGCAUCGGUUGGGGAUAGGACGGUAAUCUCGCAUCUCCCAAAUAUUUGCCGGUAACUAUUUCGGGCGAGGAGAGGGUGUUUUGCCGCCCACGGUUGGCGCCCACGGUGUAUGAACGGGGCUGACAGGUAGGGCGGUUGUGUCACGUCUGAUGGAAGUUACACAUCUGCCCCUAUUUAAAAUAUUAGCCUACAUCGAUUUCGGACGAGGAGAGUUUGUUUUGCCGCCCACCGUGUACGAAUGGGGAAAUGGAGGAAGAGACACAUGUCUUUCGGACGAGCUUGAAUCAAAUGUGUUUUGCUGCCCACGUUUGGCGCCCACCGUGUCUGAAUGGGCUCAGAGGCCGUCGUGUCACGUCUGAUUUAAGUUACUAGUCUACCCCUAUCGACAGCAGUGUAAAUCCGGUCGAUAAGGAUGUCAAGUGUGAGGGGUAGACAGUAAUUUCCAUCUCGCAAACACUUGCUUCGGGCAGCCCACAAAUUACAGUGGGUGUUUAGCCUCUUCGUUCAAAACUUGGGAGAAUUAGCAUUCACGUUUGCCCUGGGACCUGGCAAACUAAAUUCAAAUCCAAUUUGUAUUCAAUUACGAAUAUCCACAGAUAAUUAUACAUUUUGUUAUUUAUUUCUUCGAAACCAUAACAAACAUUUAUUCCACCUUUAUAUAUGAUUAUGAUUUAGAAAUGCCGUGAUCUUCGAAUUCAGUAGGUUGGAUACACUCUGAGUCAAACAGUUAUUUCAUCCAAUACAAUAUGCUCACACGAAAAACAGUUCACCUUAUGUCAAUCAUACAAGUACUGAGGAUUACCUCGCCUAAAAAAUUCGGAUCAUUACAACACAUGGACAACAUAGGGGGUCUUGCAACAUAAUCCAUUCAGAGAUAUGACACAACAUGCAAGUACAAUAAUCUAAUGACAAUUUCAACUGGUAUCUAAAGAAGAACCGGGAUUACCUUGGGCUUUAGAUAGCAGAAACAGCAGGACCUCCUCCGUCUUCAAAUGCAACAUUCUUACUUCCUCCAAUUCUAGGGUUGCUUGCAUAAUGCGUGGCGCUAAUUCCGUAAUUUCCAGCCUCAAGAUAAAGAUUACCUCAUUGAUGGCAGCCCCACCAUCUCUUUCUGCCUCUAGUAGAGCCUCAAGCACUAUAAUAUCUGUGCUCAGACUGCUCUCCGGCGGUGUUGCCUCUGAACUGCUACCAUCUGGUAACAUGGAUGGCACACUGCUUCCACAAAUAGAUUCUGGGGUUGUACAUUGUGUCCAAGUGUGAACGGCAUCCUGGAAGGUUUUCGCUGGACAUCAGUAAGAGAUAGUUAUCGUAUGAUCCAGGCAGUAAGCUUACAUGGUAAACGAUGGAUGAAUUAUUGCCGAGCAUGGCAAACUAUAUUUAAAUGGUUCGAAGCAGCAUCAGCCGAAAAGAAAUUAAAAUUGUAAGAUGAAACUAGGGAUGUAAGUGGCAAAUAAACGACAUCCGCCAGUCCCAUCUAGUUAGUUUUUGCUACCUCCCUAGUUCAUUUUCCACAAAAAACAAAAACUCUUUUGAACUAUCAUACCACUAGUGGACUUUAAUCGGGAUUAAACGGGACCCAGUUGACAUCCCUAGUUGAAAGGGAGUGUACAACCGCUAUAUUUAAGUUGCCAAGGCAUCUAAGCAGUUGAAAUAAUCUGAGAAAGCACUUAACAGUGUGGCCUCAUAUAAACUACCAAGACAGUCUUGUGAUGAAGUUGAGAGGAAAAGUUAAGGACUCAAAUGAAAUAGGCAUGCAUUUCUUUACGAUAGUACAGCAGGCACUGCUGACAUAUUGGACAACUCAGGUAUAGCAUAACAACAAAUAAGCAUUCGAAUCAAGCAAUACAGCAAAGCAGACAACUGAACUAUUUGUAAUUCGGUAGGAUUACAUGUUGAGGGCACAAGCCAAGAAAGCAGCCCACUCGCAUUACAUUUCACAUGUACUAAAACACACUGGCUUACCAUAUGUUGCUGUGAAGCCUAGCUGCUGUUGCAAUGUUCUUUGAAGAUAUCGUCAGCAUCCCGUGGUUGCAAAUCUAGUUGUUGUAGUUUAUUCUGCACCAUCUAUUUAGGUAAAAUUAAUUUUAAUCGCAUGCACUGGUCCGAAUUGAUCAUCAAUGGUUCAUCUAAACUAAUGAAAGAAGGGUGUGUGCAUACACGACAAUAUACCUGCUUCCCUCUAUUUUUAUGCUUGUUCGAGGUGCCAGCCCCAAAAGAACAAAUAUUUUGCUUGAUGGGGUUGGCAGCUCCAUAAUUAAUAGAAGCAUCAAAUUAGUCAUGCAACUUGGGAAGAUCAAGAACACACAAACAAGUAAUGAACAGAGGCUCGGAGCGGUGAUGUAAUAGCUAGCAUCAGAAAAUGUAGGGUAAAAUGAACAAAAAGCAGCGGAACCACAUGCUAGUUUGCUGAUGUGUAAUUAAGCAUAGAGAACAUUAAGCAGUCUGAUGGAACCAACAGGUGGCAUCAGAACAAAACUAAAGCAUAUUAACUAUAUGUGCACUAAUAUGUAAUUUAGCACAUGUAACAUGUUCACUGCCAGAAGAAUGGCCCUACAGGUGCAAGCAGAAUAACGCGUCUCAUGAAAAACUGAAUGAUGCCCUGAAGAAAUUCAAAGGUGCGGUGCUUAUGCUAGGAAAGUGAACGUAGGCGCCGGCCGUUGGAUAAUAGUACCUGAUUCUCGGCGGCGUAUGGGUAUCGUUGUCAUACUUGAUAGCUAAGGAUCGUCGAUGGUGCUCGUGUUGCGGUUGAGUUUGGGCCGGCUGUCGUCGUCGCUGAAGCGGCUCCGGUGCUACGGUUGCGGUGCCUGUCGACAUACAAGAAAGUUCAUCUGUGGUAAGUGAACAGUUGCACGAUAAAGAGAAAAACCGAAGGAGUACAAAUUGAAAUAACCUGAUGAGGCUGCGGCGUCGGUAAAGCAGGGCCGGUGGAGUUGAAUAUGGUGUCUAUGGAGCGGGUCCGGUGUAGUGGACGAAGGCUUCGACGGGCCUGUUGUACAGUGCUUUCGGUGAGGCGGAUCUGUUGCGGCGGACGAGGGCUUGUAUGAAGGGCCAGCGAAGGGGCGGACGAGGGAGUCAGUGAAGGGCCUACGCUACGGUGGACGAGGGCACCGGUUAAGCAGAUCCGGUGCGGUGGACCAUGAUGGCGGUCAAGGAGAUCUGGAGCGGUGGACAAGCCAGUCGCUGAAGCGGCUCCGGUGAAGUGGUGAGUUGGCAGUUGGGGGUUCCAAGGUGCGGAAGGUAGAUCUGGCGGGGUGUGAGGUCCACCGCUGCGGCGGAGGACUAGAUUCGGCGGCUUGCCGUGGUUGGGGGGGUCGGGGAGGGGAAGGGGAGGGGCUCUGGGGAAGAAUGUUAGGGGCAAAGAGGGGAAAACAAUGGAGUUACCAAAGCAGCCCUUUUCCGUUCAUGUGGCAGGGGUAAAACAGGAACAUCGCAGGGCUAAACUUUCGGGCGCGUGAUAUUUCGAUGUGAGCGGGAAGUUUGAAAGCUUUUCGCACCUAAAAAUAUAAGUAUUCUGCUCUCGUACGACCGACUAUGAUAUCAUGGCCGACAAUUUGUUUGUUUUGCACGCAAAAAAUGUGCAAGUUUUGAAAAUCAAUGUCUCCAACUCGAAACUUAGAUUGUCCAUUCAAUUCAAACAUGGUUCAUUGAGCUACUACAAGCAAAUACCAUCAUACGGUCCAGUUCAAAUGAAAUUCCAAAUGUGUUUAUCCUAAAUAUGAUGACAAAAGCAAAAAUGUGUAUGUGUAUGAAUAAAGUGGAUGAUUAUAAAGUUUGAACAUGCCCGUAUGUGUAUAUCUCUAGGUUUGAUAUAUGAAUUUGAAAUCACAAAAUCCCGGCUUAAAAAAUGUACCUCCGUUUAAAUGAAUUACAAAAGCUAAUGAUGGAGUCGAAUUCCAAAAUUCCAAUCUUAGGUUUGUAAUUCUGGUACAUCAAGGUAUAUCACGCAUGUUGAAAAGUAUCAUUAUCUCAUAGUACAAACUGUGAAACAAAUUGAUCAACCAUGAGUGCACAAUAUCUCAAUUACGCUAAAGUCCCUCAAAUAUAGACACCUCACUCUUUAUCUGAAGUCAACCCCCCACCACCACACACACACACACAUAGAGAAGUCGUUCUCUCCCCCAAACACCAACACACGAGCACAUUAACACCCCUCUCUCUUGUAAAGUCCGGACCCCAACAUAGGUCUCUAUCACUUUGUCUCUCGGGCAUGCACACAUGUCUUCCCUCACUCUCUAGGUCUCCCGCUAUCUCUCUUACCCAAGAACACACACUAUGUAGAGUGUAUAUUUCCCAUACACACAAAACGUUGCCCCCAAACGUCUAUCUCCCUAGUUAUGUGGUUCUCGCGCACUCACCUCACACACCACCCCCACUACAAACAAGCACACUUUGUCUCCUUGUGCACCACUCUCCUCUUUCUAUCUAUCCCACAUGCGGACCCGCCCCAGCUCCUUCCCUGUAUACAUAUAUGUCGUGACUCUUUGCAUAGCUCCCUAAUGUAUAAUCGUUCUCGAUUUCGCACAUUGUUCUCUACACCAUCUAUUCUAGAUCUCUCAUGAAGUCCCUAUCACACACACGAUGACUCGCUUCCCUUGCGUCUCCGUUCAUAGGCCAAUUUCGGAUAACAUCAACAUUGUCUCCCUAUCUAUACGCCAUUUAUGGACACAAACGACCCCUCUCGCCCCCUCUCUUCCUCUCUCUCUCUCUCUCUCUCUCUCUCUCUCUCUCUCUCUCUCUCUCUCCGUCGCUAGCUCUCUCUUUCUCUCGCUCUCACACCCCUCUCCCACACACACACUCGAUGUCUCUUCCAAAUAGUCUGCUCCCCCCACCCGCACCCGUGCUAUCUCGCUACUACACAUGUCACACCAUUCCCCUUCCCUUAUACUAGGUUUACAUCAUCAGUGGUCUCUCUACUCCACAUACACUCUCUCCCUCUCACACACAAACGCAUGCACAAACACACACAGACACGCACAAACACCCAUUUAUCUGGAUCCUCAUCUCUCCUCAUGUCCGCAUGUGUAUCUCACACACUCACUCUCUAAUUAUGUAUAUGUGUCUCCACGUUACACAACACAAAGCCCCAUGUACAUGUCUCUCUCUAUCCUCCACACACAUAGACACAAAGAAUCUGUUAUCAUUGCCUUAGUCUCUAACAUAUCACACACGCACACUGUCUCUCUCUCUCUCGCAAACACGCUCAACAAGGGUUUCCCCGUGAAUAACUUACCGUCUAUUCAUCAACAGUCGUGGCAGUACGGCGAACACGAGACGUGAAAAAAGAAUAAAUCUACACGUGCUUAGACCACCUAGUAUGACUACUAGGACUAGAGCAAGCCAAAAAGCGUGCCGCCGUCACCCCCUCCUUGUCGGCGACGGGAAAAUCUUUGUUUUACACAGUCGAGAAGUCAUUGUGCUAAGGCCCCACAUGCUGAGGUGUUGAAUAGAAUGUAGAUGCUAGUUUACGGAAGCAAGUAUCGAUAAUAUGUUUGUAUCUCCAUACUUAUAUUUCUUCUCUUAUAAAAAACCGAGUUGGUGAUGAUGGUACGUGUGCCAUCUUGCAAUAUAGACCGUCCGAUCUAUAUCUGAUGGAUGGAAAUUAAACUAAAAGAUACCCGCACCCCUCUCCACAUUUGGAGACAAGGCCUUCCCUCGUUCAUCCUUAUCUCCAACAAACCUCAUUGUUGAGCAAUUAAGAAAGGAAGCCUCUGGAACAAACUGGCCUGGUGGCCGCUGCCGGCGUCGUCAAUCCCCAUGCCUCCGCUCAGUCCGACCACCAACCACCACCACACCCCACUCCUCUUCACCUUAUCUCAUAUUUCUCGAGAUAUCAUUAGUUUUUACACAUGGGAUUACUCCCGCAAGGGUCAAUCACAACAGUGUUUUAUAAAAAAAUGCAUCUUGAUGUUCCAUGCAAUGCACGGAUCUUGCUAUUACUCCUACACAAGACUAAGUUGGUGAUGCUGGUGUGUCUGCCAUCCGUCGUUUCUGACCAUUAGAUCUACAUCUAACGAUUGUGAGGUAAGUUGUUGCCUUUUCUUACCAACAUCCCACUUGUCUACCAAUUUGCAGAAAAACCCAUAAUUAGUAUCUUAAAACCAACCACAUCCCUCCCUGACCUCACCCAAACAGCCCAAGGAAUAUAUUCUAAUUGAAACAUAAUAUAUCUCUAGUGACAUAUGUAUAUCAAAAUUAGAGUGUUUUGUACCAAGUUUGUGAAUAAGUAUUAUUCUAAUUAUGAUUCGUUGCAACGGACAUGAACAUUGCUAGUAUUUCCAACCAUGCAUUUUUUCCUAGUAUUCCAUAGUUUCGAGUUUUCCAUCAAGAUAUUAGUCACUCAUGGUUGAUAUUUACUUUCAAUCAUGUACCCAUAUGCACUAUGUAACUAGCCUUGCUUAUUGGCUUCCAAAGCUUAACUUUCACUCCUACUUACAAUAUGUAGAGUAUUUAACAAAAAACUACCACUUUCAGCCAGCCCUAGGAAGAAUCUAUUGUACAAAAAAUAGCAAAAACAUACCCAAAAUUUCUUAAUCCACGCUAAAAACUACCUAGUACUCCUACCGAUUAGGUUCGUUUAAACCCAUUUAUGACAGGGUUGGCCCACACGUCCGUGCUGACGAGGCAGCUUAAACCAACACAUUUUGUUUGACCGUUGACACGAGGGACCCACAUCUGACCUUCUAUCCUGUUAUUCCCCCUCAAAUCAUUAUUUUUCCUGAACAUUACUUCAAACAGUACGGAUGCGUAUUCGUCGGUGGCGCCGGUGAUGAGCGAGUUGGCCGCCGCUCCGCUGGACGGGCCGGAUGCCGCGGUGGCCUCCGCACGGGUUGGCAGGCUGGCCCGAGCGUGACUCACGAGCGAGCAAGCCGCCGCGCUGGCCUUCGCUCGAGCCAGAUGGCUGGCCUUAGCGCGGCGCGCGCGAGCAAGCGGCCGCGCUGCCGUGCCAAUCUAGCUAGCAAACCUUGCAGACAAGCAGCUGGACGGAGCUAUCUUGGCUAGCUAGCGGCCGCGAGCAACGGACGGAGCUGGCAUCCGGGCUACCGCAACAUGGGCUCCGCACCGCCGGCGGUUUUGACCUCGCCUUCUGCCGGCGGCGGUAGCUGCGUCCCAUGGCCGAGGAUGACUAGGAGGACGGGCCAGAGGUAGGAGGUCACUCGAGGAUUUUUGUUGGUAAGAGCAUGUACAAUGGUUGAUAAGGUAGUCUUAUCUUAAGUCUGCCACGUAUGCAAGUGGUAGUAGUUUCUUGGCAUUUUAGUGGUUUCUUGCAUUAUUAGAGCAAGUACAAUAGAGCCGAGUCAGCGGGCUAUAAGAAAUAAACUAGUAUAUUUCUUCUUAGUUGGAGGAAAGAGAAGAGGAGAGAGAAGGUAAGCGGGUUCGUGAAGAGCCAGCUCUAGCACGUGCUCCUAGGCACUAUGUGAGAAUGAGAAGUGGGCCACAUAAUAAAAAAGUAGUACACUCUUUUGAUCUAUUAUUGUACAUGUUGGCUAUAAGAUGAGCUGUAGAUGACAUGGCACUGGCUUAUAGCCAGCAGCUGGCUAUACUAUUAACCAUGCUCUUAGGGGUUUCUUGUAAGGAACAAUGUACGUACUACUAGCGACAAAAGGCGAUUCUAGGUUGCGUUGUACUCCAACGAGUACUACUAGUGGUCGCGGGAGUGUAUACCUCAUUUUGUGGGUUCAAUCCCGGCCGAACGCACGGCGGCCUUUUUUUUAAAAAUAGUACUACUACACUUCGCUGCAAGCCAAUAUUCACGGGUAGUUUGAGUUUUGAAGUCUAACGGACGUGCGGCCCCACAAUCUGGGUGCACUGGAUAGCCUAGCCACGUGAACGGGUUUUCCUUCCCAGCAUCCCGUGGCUCGCGUGCUCGCCCUAGCCGCAUCUCGCUUGCAGCUUCCAGCUAGUAGCAUAUUUAAACUAGCGCCUCCCAAUUAAGCCCGAGGAGCCGGAAAAGCCUGGCGGGGCAUUGGGAACUGUGCAAUAUGGCUCUGUACGUAAAGUGCUCUACUACUACUCUGUAGCUUGUGGCGUUACACGCAUGGACUUCACUCCAUUAUCGGCUCUACUAUAAAAGAAAUUCCUCUUGACGUGUUUUUUUGAAACGGAGGCAAAAGCUGUGCUUCAUCUCAUUCAUAAAGAAGGAACUACUAACAAAGUUUGACGAGAUCCAUUACACCUCCACAAAUGGAAGCGAAAAGCCUAGUCUCGCUGUAUCAAAUAACUCAAAUGUUCUGCCCCCGCAGUAACCGUCGCUGAUAAACAGGCUGUUAGUGUGUGCGUGAGAGGAGCGGCUGAGUAGGCCAGCUACGUGAGAGGAGCGGUUGAAUAGAGCACCGAGAGUACCCACUAGGCCACUACGCAGGUGUACUUCCCCUGCAUUGAUAGUACAGCGAUGGUUCUAGAGAACAAUAGUACCCUCCACUUCCAACUGUAGCUCCUUGGCCCUGAGAUUCAAGAGUUCAAAACUGGUGCACUAUACUAGACUAGACUAGAAGUACAGUAAAACGCACUACUAGUUGAGAAAAGUAGUACUAGUACUGCUACAGUACGAGUACGUACUCCUCCGUCACAUAAUGUAAGACGUUUUUUGACACUAGUUGGCGUGUACAAAAAAUGGCAAAAACAUACCCAAAAUUUCUUAAUCCACCCCAAAAACUACUACCUAGUGCCAAAAGUUUCUUACUAGUGCUAUUAUUUACAGUAUAAUGCAAUCCCAUAACGUUCCAUAAUGCUAGUACUUGUAGUAAAUAAUAGCCUCGCCCCUUCGCUAAGGAACGAUCUACAGUUGGAAGGGACGAGGCCCUGCGGUUACUACGCUCUUAUCUCCUCCUCGCCAGUUCCCCUCCCCCGAAGAGAAGGCAGUUCGUCGCUGCUCCCAUGGAUUCUCUAGGCGGUUCUCCUCCUCGUCGGGGCUGGGAGACCUUGGACGAUGAUCCUCUGGGAGAAAUCGCACGCCGCUCCGACUUCCUCACCGCCGCAAGACUCGGUGCUUCCUGCACCAACUUUUUCAAGACGCUGCUUAAGCAGGCUCGGGAAAAGGCCAUGCUUGUUGGUCUUCCAUGCGUCCUCGAGGAGAAGGUUCUUUUAUGGGACAGUCCUUCGAACAGUCCACCGCUCCCUGGCCAUGGUUGCACGUUGACUCCGCUAGAGUUGCCGACGUUGAGAGGUAGUCGGAUUUUGUCCGAUGAACAGGUCAGUAAUGGAGUUUGAUCAUGUAGUACUUAGUUAUUCCAUUUCCAUCCCGUAAUUUCUCUGCUGCCCACCGUCUUAUAUAUAGGUCUGGGUUGGUGCCAACGAAGAUUGGCUUGCAUACCUCCGGCCGGAUACCACCAUCAUUUUGCACAACAUCCACAGCAGUGCGGCCAUUUCGGUAGACCCCUUCUCCACCAUUGGGAUCGGCCUUCCGGACUGGCUGGGCUUGAGGCUUGAAUACGUAUGAUGAUGCCUACAUGAGAUUGAAGAAGAUAGCAAUUGCGGACCCGCCGACAAAGCGACGCGGCUACGACGAUUACUAUCUCAUCACGGUGUUCGACAUAAGAAUUGCCAUCAAUGCAAGAGGCAGUAACGGCAGAGGCUGGCGCAUGUUGGCGGCGGCAGAUUUGUACCCCUACACGUUCGAAGACGCCGUGUGCCAUCUAGGCCGCAUAUUCGCGGUGACAAGCCAGGUGACUUGUUUCAUCUGGUUGCCAUCCUACGGUACGGGAGAUUACAAACAGAAUGCACAAACCAUCAUUUGCAUCCCUAACGGUACUCCAUUAUUUUGCAGGGACCAGUCAUCCCCCGAUCAAAAUAAGAUCGCCGAUCCUGGAUGUGCAUUUGCAUCCGCGAUUCGGUCUAACCUGGAACCUUGUAGCUGACUUUGGCAUAUUGGGAUCAACUAUCUUAGCAGUCGUUACCCAUGGUACCACUGAUGUGCAACAUGGUCACACAAUCUACCACGAUCGGACCAUCACCAUCUACCCAGGUAUUCCAUUUUUUAACCCUCUCGCCUUCUCUUUCAUUGUUGUACUAGUAGUAUACUUUGUAGUACUAGUAGGAGUACUUUUUACCUUGGAGGACGCGUAUAGCUAGCUAGGCCCUUAAAGACUUGAACCCACUAGCUGCCACCAUUUUUGUUUUUCCAUGUCUUACUAUCUCAUCCAUGUUGCCAAGAGUGGCUAUAUAUAAUAAGCCAGUUAUUUUACUUCCUCUAUACCGGAGUAGUACUAUUUGCUGCACAGUAUUACUGACCGCCAUAUUUGAGCCCAACAUUAUUAUGCAUGGACCUUGACUAUGUACGUCACCAUGUGUCCAGAUCUGGGAUGCCGCGUGUACGAGAUGAACAGCGCCGAGUUCGACCCCCGUGAUGCUACGUGGGUGCCGAGGAACACUCUUGGAGAGUACUCGCUUUUCAUCGGGGACAGCUACCCCAUUGUGAAGCGGAUGCCACCUUCCGUGCAUGACACGGAAGGCCUGCCGUUCAUGAAGCAUGGUUGUGUCUUCAGUGCGCACCGCCGGAUGAACGACAAGCUGGGACACGCUAUCCCUGAUUUAUGCCGCUUCAGCUUGGAUGAGUCUCCAUCGUGUGGAACCGGACUAGAAAGCUGCGACAAUGAUUCCCGUUGCCCACCGCUAUGGAUCGUGCCAUCCAUGAAGAACACAUGGGACUGGAACCUGGAGGAGGACAUGUAGCCCAUCUAUAACAUGUAAGUGGAGUACGGUAAUUGUGAACGGUAGCGCUGUGAAUAUAUGUAGACUAGUCGUGCACAAAUUUAUCACAUGAAUUGGAGAUGAACUUGUGUGGCAUACUAGUAAGUGUGUUACGUGUACGUGCAACUUGUGUGGUUGUUGCACGGGCUCCAACACGCUCUUUGAGAAAAAAAGGUGGCACAACUUUGGAUAUACGUGACGUGGCGACAUCAUACAGUAGCAUCGUUCGCUAUAGUUGUAGUACACUCCUACUAGGAUGCCAACUCCUAUAAAACCUUGCGCUUGGCUCUUUGCCUCUUCGGGAGGUUUAACAGUUCGUACUCUUGUGAACCUUGCACUUGGCUCUUCGCCUCUUCGGAAGGUCCAACAAUGAUGAUACUACAGUACAAUAUGCUUCUGGCAAUCUGACACCGAUUGAACUGCUGCACGUCCACCGCGAGGGCGAGGGCGAGGGAGAGGGAGAGGGAGAGGGCGCUGUAGUCAAAACCCUCUCCUCGUCCUGCGAACCACCGCACGCGUGGGCGAGGGAGAGGCGUAGUAAGCAAGCUUCUCCUCGUUCGGCGAGUUGACGGGACACAUCAAAGCAGUACUAGUACUAGUAGUAGUAGUCCAUACUGCGUCCUUUCCAAUUAAUAUGGCUUAAUUUGAAUCGAGAAAAAUACACUGGCGGUAAACAUAUGUAACAAUACGCUCUUUACGGUCACUAUAUAUAGUUUUGCGGCGAUUAUACGAUCACUAGCUCAUCGUAGAGCACUGUAUUGCACCCUACUGACAGGCCACAUAGUCGACGUGGCACUUUGUUGACUGGUUAAAUUGUCACCUGGUUUCUGGGUCCCACCUGUCAGUUGGCAGAGCAAAGAAAUCAGUGUUGCGUGCGUCCAUGUGUACGUGUGAGUGUUGCAUGUUGCAUGCAUGCAUGCAUGGGGCUUACUCCCUCCCAUUGACAUGUUCAUAUUUCAAGCUUCCUCUGUUCCCUCCAUAUGGUAAUACUCCCUCUGUUCCCAAAUAGUACGGAGUAAAAGCCUCCCUCUGUUCCCAAAUACGGAGUAUUUGUCUUUCUACAGAUUUCAACAAGUGACUAGGUACGGAGCAAAAUGAGUGAAGUGAGCGUAGAGGCAUUGGGAUACUGUAGAAAGGAAGUCCUCGCGAUCCAUUAUUCCCCAUCUCGGUCUGAGAGAACUAUUCAACUAGUCUUCGUAGUGAAGUGACAAUACACACUGUAGUAGAUGGGACACGUAAAUAAUAAGCUGAACCAUCGUGUUGGUGUUACUAAAUCAGCCUUACCCAGUACUGCCAUCAUGUUUGCCAGUAGAGCACGCUUCCGCAAAUAUGCCUACGCACCUCUGUCCUCCAUUAACUGACAUAUGGGCCCUGUUGUGGUAGACCCACAUGACAUCGGUGUAACUAUUUACACUCCGAAGGACGGUAUAUCCUGGUAGUAGUACUAGUAGAAUUGAGAUUGAAUGCACUUUCUUCCCCGUCUUCCACUCUUCUUCCACCUCUCUUCUUCUUCCUCCUCUCUUCUUGUUCCUCCUCUCUUCCCCAUCGUCGGCCGCACACCAUUUACCCCCGCUCACUGCUCGCCCGCCCGCGCCAUCUUCCUUGGUAGCUCGCGCGUACCAUAUCCCCCCACUCACUGCUCGGCCACACAAGGAGAAGCUUCUUUGCUCGCCCGCCCGAAUCCACUUCCCCGCUGGCUCGCAGGCACCGAAAACCCCAAUGGCAGAACCGACUGACACGCAGAGCCGCGAUUGGAAUUCCCUCCCCGAUGUUCUCUUGGAGCAGAUCUGUAGUCGUAUGGAUCUACUCAGCACCGUCCGUCUGGCCGCAUGCUCGGUGUCUUCGUACCGUCUACUCGUCUGCAAUCGGCCGGCUCUUUUCAAGACACCCUGCUUGCUGAUGCCCGAUCCUCGCAGGUGGCCUAGACACCGACUUGAUGAUCCUACGGAGGUUGCCGUGGUGCCCCUCGACAUGCUACCACUACCCGUCCACCUGUCCUUCAUGCGCGGCCACUACUGGGCGGGCAUGAAGGCCAACUAGAUCGUCCUCAUCCACCACACCGGUAGUCUGUGGCGUCUCGUGGAUAUCUACACCCAGCGAGAGAUCACCCUUCCAUCGUUGGAUACCGCCGCCAUCGAGCCUCGCGGCCCGUCGGACACUCCUGCCUACUACGCACGAGACGCGUCAAGCUUUUGGCCCGACCUCUGUUUGCAGAAAGUUGUAAUCUGCGAAGUGCCCACACCAUCCGAAGACUACAUGCAUUACAAGCUCAUUGCCUUGUUCAACAUGGGAUUAGUCUAUCUGGAAUCCGGUCGCCAUACAUGGUUAUGGCUCAUCAUCAAUCUUGUCGAGGCAACAUUUCUGUCUGAUGCUAUAGUGCACGAUGGCAUCGUUCACGCGGUCGACGCAUCGAUUGGCUGCCUAUACUGGUGGAAUCUAUCAUCGUGUAAUUGUUCUAUCUCAUCUCAUCUUUACCUUAUGAAUACGACUGCCUGUUCAUUUGUUACAAAUUUAGAAUGCAUAUCAUGUCUAUAACCACAUCAUUGCUAUAUGUUCCUAUCAUUUCCUAGAUUUUUAUGACCACACAUGUUAUUGUUAGAGUUGAUAUGAGAACAAUUGGCAUCUAAUGAUUGUUAGAAUACAUAUUAUGAGCAUAACAUCUUGAUUGCUAUAUGUUACUCUCGUUUACAAGAUUUUUAUAACAACGCAUGUUAUUGCUUAGAGUUGAUAUGAGAAUAGUAGUAGUAAGUGCUAUGGUAGAAUAUGAGUAGGCGCUGUCAUAGCUGUUUUCCUCUCAUUGUUACAUGAUGUUUGAACCAUGACAUAUUGCUAGAAUAUGAAAGCCAUUGGCUUAUUUUUUUAACUUGGGGUAUGAUUAUGACCACGACAUUGCAAUUCUCUGUCUAUGAUAUGUGUCACUGUUAUAAUAAUCUUAAUUCCACACAUACUCUGAACAUGAUUGUUUAUUUUUGUCAUUUUGGUCUCCAAUUUGAAUUGUUGCAGCAGAUGCAAAUGCGCUGGCCUUCAUGAUUCCAGGACCUGGAAUCAUACCAGCCGAUGGGUGGUGGUUUAUCGCUCGUUCAGCUGACGGCGAUCAUUUGAUGCUCAUUCGCACGUACCAAAUUGACCAAACCAUUACAUCAAACCACAUGCAGUACAAUGCGUGGGGCGUUCAUGACAUUGAUGGCUAUGGCUGCUUCGUGUUCGAGAAAGAUCCCAGCUCCGUUGGGCCAGGCGUAUUCAACUGCAGGCGGGUUUACAGCCCCGGCAACCACUCCUUGUUAGGUGACACAAGAAUCCCGGCGGCGUGUUCGGGUAUUCUGGACUUCAAAUUUGGAGUACCACUUAUUUGUCGAAAUCUUUCAUCAUUCACUUAAAACAGUCGAUUGAUCAUACAUUGAGUACCAUAUAACUGGAAUUACCGAUGCAAGUCGAAGAAGGAUUAGCCGGUGCUGCCGGCUGGCGUCAAGUUUGAUCCCACGGAUCAGGAGCUGAUCGAGCACCUUGAGGCCAAAGUGAGUGCUGACAGCGCGAGAUUUCAGUCUCUCAUUGAUUUGUUCAUACCAACCAUCGACAGCGAGCAGGGCAUAUGCUACACCCAACCUGAGAAACUUCCAGGUAAGACACCGAUCGGCCGUCUACUUGCACAAACAUAUUCCUUUGUUUAUAGCUCUAUUUUUCUUUUUAGACGCAGACCUGGUGAAGCAAUUACAAUUUGACAGUUAAUAAAAAGUGAAAGAAGUGACUGCAACAUGCCAAAGAUGUUAUGAAAAUGCCAACUAGGUACACUAAAACCUGUAUUCCACAAUACUGCAGGUAUCACACUGAGUGGCCUAAGGAAGCAUUUCUUCCAGCACAAUUCUAGGGCGUUCAAAAGGGGCACGUGGACGCAUCGCAAGAUACAGUCAGAGUGCGGCAUGCACGCAAUGUGGCACAAGACCGGCAAUACCUUGCCGGUGAUGGUCAACGGCCGGCAGACGGGCAGCAAAAAAGGUUCUGGUGCUGCACACCAACAAGAACUUCGACCAGCAGAGGACCAACUGGGUGAUGCACCAGUACCACCUCGGGGACCUGGAGCAAGAGAAGGAGCAGGAGCUGGUCCCCUGCAAGAUUUUCUACCAGACGAACACUAGGGCCAGGAGUAAAAAGAUUAUAAGUUAGUUUGGUAUUGGUAGUUGUACUACCUUGUCGUCCGCAAAUUGGUAUUGUUGUUAACGAUCUUUUGGUAUGAACUUGCAUUUGCUUCCAACCAUCAUGCCGAGGGUCGACGUGGAUAUAAAGCUGAAUCAUUUGUUUCAAAACGAAUUUUCAGGCACCUGAUUUUUAUUUGAUGGGUAGCAUAAGCACCCGCCGUUCGAAUUCCCAGUUCUCCAAUUUUUUCGAAACAAGUGCAUGCACUUAUUAUCACGAUAAAAAAACAAUAUCCGUGCUGCAUCCCAGUUAUCAGUCUGUACUUGCAGAAUUCUCUCAUUUAUUGAGCACGUAUAUUGUUUUUUCAGGUCGAGCAAGUUUCAACUGGGUUGUAGACUGCCCAGGGUUGGUUUUGUUUUUAACAGGCCCAGCCCAUGACGACAACGGGGCACAAAGAUCCAGCAGGUAUCUACUGGCCUCUGGCCCGCCAGCGUUACUUAUAUUUUGUCUUACAACAUCCGCAAGCAGUUUUUUUACUAAAUCAAACACACAGCCUAGUUCUAUUUUCCUCUUGAAACGCAUGUCCUACAUCCGUUUUCUAAUCUCUACCUAUAGUUUUACUAGUUCAUAUACACGUAUCAUUAUAUUGAAAACACAUAAAAUUCCCUUUUCAUAUAUACAUCCUUAUUUUUGUUGUUUUUUCCCACCCAGCGCUGUUUUUUACCACUGGUUUUCCUUAAACCAACUCAAUUGUCCCACGUCUUAUUUGCUUACAAAAACAAAACGAUUUUUUUGGCAAAUCAAUAAGUUCUUAAAAAAAUGUUUAUCAUUUCGGGAUUACAACAGUUCGGACUCCACCGAAAUAUGCAAAAUAAGGUUGAACUUUUUGACCGUGGUCCUGGGCAGAAAAUGGGCUGUAAUAAAUUACUUAAGAAUUAGCAAAUGGGCUGCAAAUUAUAAAAAAUAGCAAAUGGGCUUUAUGUUGUCUGCCACAGAUUUGGAGGCUGACUUGUGGGCGUACUAAGUUCAUGCGUACACAAGGUUUCUCAAAAAAGAAACUUAGUCAACAAUCGACUCUACCAGCAUCAGACCGUUAGAUGUCAAUCUAACGGCAAUCGUGCUUCUUCAGUCUCUGAUCUUCCUGCCCCAGCCGCCCAAACCAGCGCCAUCGGAACCGCCUGCUCCCGCCUCCCGUGGCCGGCAAUGCUGCCGGGCAGGCCUCACGGCCCCAUCAUACUAGCAUCCCUGGCCUGUCUAUCCCUCUACUCACCCACACCUCCUGUUAUUUUCCGGCUACGGCAACCGAACCAGUCAACCCUCGUACUCUCCACCGCGUGGGCAGCCACUGCCGUGUCUUCCCCGGCUCCGUGUCGUUCCCUUCGUAGGCCUCGCCAUCGUCCACCGCCCUGGUGCUCUCGGCGCGGCGUGGUCAACGAUGUCCAUCCAACGGCCGUAGUGCUUCUUCAACCUCUGGUCUUCUUGCCCCAGCCGCCCAAAGCAGCGCCGGUCGUGCCGCAUGCUCCUGCCUCCCGUGGCCGGCUGUGCUGCCGCGGAGGCCUCACCGUCCCCAUACUACUCCCACCGCUGGCCAGGCCAUCCCUCCACUCAUCCACUCCCCCUGUUAUUCUGCGGUGACGGCAGCCUCACACCGCAGCCGAACCAGUGAACCCUCGUACUCCUCUCCGCGCGGGCAUCCACUGCCGCGUCUUCCCCGGCUCCGCGUCGUCCCCUUCCUAGGCCUCGCCGUCGUCCACCGCCGUGGUGCUCUCGGCGCAGCGUGGUCAAUGUGGUCAACGACCGACUUCCAUCGGAAGCGUACUGUACGUGGAGAGGCUGACAGCUGGGUCCACGGCAGCCGCAAGGAAGUGCCUCCUUAUUACGCGCAAAAUAAUUAUUCCUCCACCUGACAGCAGGGACCCACCGGACGGGCCACCAGUAUUUUGCGGAAAAAACGUUUGCCCCUGACUGCUGGGACCCACCGGACGGGCCACCGUAUUUCGUGGAAAAAACGUUUGCCCCUGACUGCUGGGACCCACCGGACGGACCACCGUAUUUCGCAAAAAAACGUUCCCCCCGCUGUCAGCUCAGACCCACCGGAAGUGCCUCCUUAUUACGCACAGAAAAAUGAAUACCCCCUGCUAGCUAGGACCCACCAUGGUGGGAGGCUGACUUGUGGGCCUACUAAGUUGACGGGGACGGAGGGCUUUGUCAACUUAGUCAAUAUGGACGAUUCUAGCUCCAGUGACCGUACGAUGUCCAUCCAACGGCCGUCGUGCUUCUUCAAUCACUGCUCUUCCUGCGCCAGCCGCUCGAACAAGCGCCGGCGGGACUGCCUGCUCCCUCCUCCCCACGGCCGGCUCUGCUGCCGCGCAGGCCUCACCACCCCACCGUACUCCCAUCGCUAGCCUAGCCAUCCCUCUACUCACCCACACCUGCUGUUAUUCUCCGGCGACGGCAGACGAACCAGUAAACCCUCGUACAGUCGUACUCCCCUCCACGUGGGAAACAACUGCCGAGUCUUCCCUGCCUCCGUGUCGUUCCCUUCCUAGGCCUCGCCGUCGUCCACCGCCCUGGUGCUCUCGGCGCGGCCUGGUCAACGUGGUCAACGACCAACAUGCAUCUGAAGUGGACUGUACGUGGAGAGGCCGACAGCUGGGGCCACGGCCGCACGCAAGGGAGUGCCUCCUUAUUACGCUCAAAAUAAUGAUUCCUCCACCUGACAUCAAGGACCCACCAAAAGGGCCUCUGUAUUUCGUGAAAAAAACUUUACCGCCACUGACAGCUCGGACCCACCAGCUAUAUCUUCGCACGCAAGGAAGUGCCUCCUUAUUACGCACAAAAAAAUGAAUACUCCUCCUGUUAGCUGGGACCCAGUAUAGUGGCAGGCUGACUUGUGGGCCUACUAAGUUGACGGGGACGGAGGGCUUUGUCAACUUAGUCAAUAUGCACGAUUCUAGCUCCAGUGACCGUACGAUGUCCAUCCAACUGCCGUAGUGCUUCUUCAACCUCUGGUCUUCUUGCUCCAGCCACCCAAACCAGCGCCGGUCGUGCCUCGUGCUCCUGCCUCCCGUGGCCGGCUGCGAUGCGGUGGAAGCCUCACUGCCCCCUACUACUCCCACCGCUGGCCAGGCCAUCCCUCUACUCACCCACACCCCCUGUUAUUCUGCGGCGACGGCAGCCUCACACCGCAGCGAACCAGUGAACCCUCGUACUCCUCUACGCGUGGGCAUCCACUGCCGCGUCUUCCCCGGCUCCGCGUUAUCCCCUUCCUAGGCCUCUCCGUCGUCCACCGCCCUGGUGCUCUCGGCGCGGCGUGGUCAACGUGGUCAAGGAACGGCUUCCAUCGGACGUGGACUGUACGUGGAGGGGCUGACAGCUGGGUCGACGGCCGCAGCAAGGAAGUGCCUCCUUAUUAUGUGGAAAAUAAUUAUUCCUCCACCUGACAGCGGGGACCCACCGGACGGGCCACCGUAUUUCGCGAAAAAAUGUUUCCCCCCUGACUGCUGGGACCCACCAGCUACACCUUCGCACGCAAGGAAGUGCGUCCGAGCAAAAAAAAAACAAAACGAUUCGCCCCCCUGACUGCUGGGACCUACCAGCUACAUCUUCGCACGCAAGGAAGUGCCUGACAGUCGGGACCCACCUGGUCUAAGCGUACGUAGCGUUGUCAUUCUGGUCGCGAACGUGUACGUACGUAUAUACUGGUGGAUGUAGAGGCGCGCACGUGUCGUAGUAGAGGCGUGUACAUGUCGUAGUAGAGACGCACACAUAGCAUGUACACGUACGUAUAGCGGCCAGGGUGCAAGAAAGAAAAUACGGCCACGUAUGUGUAUAUACGGGCGGGGUCUCGAACGCCUACUCGCGCAUACGUACGGCCAGGGCUCGUGUACAUGGCUGGGUCGGAACGGAGAAACAGCGUCGUCGUCGUGUUCAUGGGGAGGCAAUGGAAUGCGUCGUGUUCAUGGGGAGGCAACGGAAUGCGUCGUGUUCAUCGGGAGGCAACGGAACGCGUGGGAGCCAACCGGCUGGGUCGGAACGGAAUGCGUGGUCGUGUUCAUCGGGAGGGCUUGGACGGAACAGGCGAUGGAAACGAGGCCUGGCGUACCGCAGAACGGAGAAAACGGACCUCCUACGGUCGAAACGGGGGUCCUAUUGAUCGGGAGGGGUGUGGCGUACCGCAAAACGGAGGAAACGGACCUCCUACGGUCGAAACGGGGGUCCUGUUGAUUGGGAGGGGUGUGGCGUACCGCAAAACGGACGAAACGGACCUCCUACGGUCGAAACGGAGGUCCUGUUCAUCGGGAGGGGUGUGGCGUACCGCAAAACGGGACUCCACGGGAUACUGUUCAUCUCCACCGUCGACCUCCUCCAGCCUCCACGGGCUACCGUCGACCUCCUCCAGCCUCCACGGGCUCCUGUUCAUCCAGCCUCCACCGCGCGCUACUCCACCAGCUACUGUUCAACCACCCCUCCACCGUCUACUGUUUAUCCAGCCCUCCACACCACGGGGUCCUGUUCAACCACCCCUCCACGGGCACCCCUCCACCGUCUACUGUUCAUCCAGCCCUCCACACCACGGGGUCCUGUUCAUCCAGANNNNNNNNNNNNNNNNNNNNNNNNNNNNNNNNNNNNNNNNNNNNNNNNNNNNNNNNNNNNNNNNNNNNNNNNNNNNNNNNNNNNNNNNNNNNNNNNNNNNNNNNNNNNNNNNNNNNNNNNNNNNNNNNNNNNNNNNNNNNNNNNNNNNNNNNNNNNNNNNNNNNNNNNNNNNNNNNNNNNNNNNNNNNNNNNNNNNNNNNNNNNNNNNNNNNNNNNNNNNNNNNNNNNNNNNNNNNNNNNNNNNNNNNNNNNNNNNNNNNNNNNNNNNNNNNNNNNNNNNNNNNNNNNNNNNNNNNNNNNNNNNNNNNNNNNNNNNNNNNNNNNNNNNNNNNNNNNNNNNNNNNNNNNNNNNNNNNNNNNUCGAUCGGCUUCAGUUAGCAGCAGUAGCGAAGGAAUCGCUCGAUCGGGUUCAGUUAACAGACAUCGAUCGAUCGCUCGGGUUCAGUAAUGCGUAGCCUGCAGUGUAAUCGCUCGGGUUCAGUUAGAGCCCAACCCCUCGCUCGGGUUCAGUUAGAGCCAACGCCUCGCACACACGCGCGUACGUGUACGAGAGAAACGCACAUCGCUCGGCCCCCGACCUACCACCGUAACCGGGAACUCCCCGAAAUUUUCCUCGCCCUCGCUUCUACCAUGGUUUUUUCCGUCAUGGACGGCCCAAAGAAUGUCAUGUAGCUGCGUCUCCGCCCGCCCAGGACGAAAAGCCCAUUUUCUGUCAUGAUUUUUUGUCAUAGAAGUAGGAGCCCACCACAUCUAUGAUGAUACCGGGUUUUGUCACAAUUAUCGUCAUAGAAGUGUCACAUGUAUGACAGAAAAAAAUUUCGUUUGGCCCAAAAUGUCACGGAUGUGUCUUUUUUUGUAGUGUAAGGGGCCUCUGAAACCGGGACAAAUGGGCCGGUUUCUACCAGUGGAAGCUCCAUCCUCCUUUCUCGUCCUCUCUUCCUUUUCUCAUAUCAGCUUUCAUCCAUCUCCCAUACUGUUGCACCUCACCUCUCCCUAGUCCAAUAGAACACGCCUUGUCCACGUGUCCAAUUAUACCACACGUGUAACAAAAAUCAGGGAGGUACUCAUACUCUAGGGGGCACCAUUUUUGCUCAUCAUCUUUCUUCUUUCUUUUAUCCACGUCCAUCACUUCUGCAGACUCCUUGUCUUCUCCCGUUCAAUAUCCAAAGUGAUUCCUCUCAACAGUGGCUUUGUAAUGUCUAGUCUAACUUUCAGCCUAAGGAAACUUCCAGCCACAUUAUCAUCAUCCCCCUGGUUACCUCCAUGAACUCGCCAAUCUCGUCACCAAUGAUCCCUCCGUUUUCUUCACUCAUGAAACCUAGCGGCAUCUUGGUCACCCUGACCCAAAUAGGGAUGAUAGUGAACUCAUACUCUUCUAGCGUUUUAGCUGGGUCGAAAUCUACCAUCACAAUCAGGUUCUUGCCCACCAUCCAUGGCCCUUCCUCCAAUGCUUUCCUCUUCCCCGCUGCUUGCAAGAAGGUGAAAAGAAAGGUGUUGUCCUCUAACUCCUUGCACUUGAUUCCCUUGAUCGGACACCACGCUCUUCCGAGGGAUUUAAUCAUACCUUCCACAUAUACUGGUUUGUCGGACAUAACCUUACCGAUCGCCUGUGGAUCUUCCGUUCCCGUUCUCCUCAACCCGCCCCUUCCGAUCUUGACUCCCUUCUUCUCUGCUUCUGGCAACCGCAACUUCUGCAUCAAACCUUCCACUUUCUCCAUUGUGUCGAGGACUUGCAUCAAUCUAUGGUUUACUAGGUGGUUGUAUUACGAAUGGAUGCCCUAGCAACACUCGUAAGGCUUUUGGUGGAUGGGUGAGCGGUCUCGAGAUCAAUCUAGCAAGGAUCGCCGAGGCUAGGGGGAGAGUUUGCUGGCGUCGGCCAGAGACGGGGUCGCCUGAGGGGACUCUAGGGUUUACCAGGAGUCACCGUAGAAUCCCCUGGGAAUCGCCCAAGCGCCAAUCAUGGAACCGUCACCCAAGGGACGGACGGGUUAAGGAUGAUAAUUAAAGCGGACUUUGAUAGAGAGACACGUGAGAAAUAGAGUGAUAGAGAGAGAUACGUGAAAAUUAAAGCGGUUUUAAUUUCUUUCUUUUCUGUAAUUAAAGAGAUACGCAUGAGAAAUAGAGAGAUAAGAGAGAUACCUGAGAAUUAAAGCUGUUUUAAUUUUUUCCGUUUCUAUGAUUAAAGAUCUGAUCUACACAGUUACAAUCUUGACCUGCAAAAUCAACGGCCUCCAUUUUCUAUUUUUCUCUAAUUAAUGUGGGAAUUUCUUGGGAGUGCCUAUUAGUAUAGGUAUAUAUAUGUGCAAAAAUCUCGACAUUAAUGAACAUAUAUCUGGUGCACUUGCAAUCUUUUGUAGUACAUUAAUGAAUAUUUAAAGUAUUUUCCAACUCUUGCUAUUUAUAGACUUGUCGUCCGUGUCUGCCACAUUUGGAGUCCAACUAUUUCCUACUGGAACCUUACACUCCACUAGAACUGAGUUUGUCAAGUAACAGAUAACCAAUAUGAGAGGGAGCAGCCUAGUGCAGGCGACGAUGAUAUUCUUCAUUGGAUGCCUUGUGCUUUGUGCACAGUGUAAGUAUAUAUCAUCAUCGUCUUUAGAAUCUUGUGUUAACUUCUUGCCACUAAUUCUUCGGAUCAGACAUACAUACACACACACAUCUGCGGUACUGCAUACUAAGGUUAAAUAUACUAUACAGGUGCUCUCGAUAAUAAGCAAAGGAUGGUCAACCAGGAUGAUCAUGCGGCGAACACAAGUACCAACGCUACCAUCAUCAACUCAACAACUGUAGGCGAGAGCAAGAAAACCGAGAAAUUUUGCAGCCUCUUUCUCGUAUGUUAUUUCAACAUUGAGAUUCGUGCUGAGUGCUACUGUUGCGAGAAUAAGAAUGCCGACUGUUACAAGACGAAGAGUGAGUGCCUGCAAAAGUGCCAUUCCUACAACGGUUAAUGCCCACCUUCAUCGCGGUCUUUGGGAUAGAAUUCCAUAUGCUUGGAAAAUUUGCCCGUCGGUAAUAAAAGGCACCUUAUAUGGUUUGGGCAAUUAGGUUCCAAUUAAACAUGAGAAAGCCCGCAUGUUUCCGUGUAGAUCCAACAAGGAAAAAUUUGAUGAAAGAAAUCCAAGUAACUAGUUGUCUUGCAUAUUUACAAAGUUCAAAUCCUUUGGUUGUUGUGCUUUGACUCGAUUGUCUAUUAUGCUGUUUCAUUUACUUGCACAUUGCCCACUUGUUCAUUUAACACACAUCACCCACUUGGUGAUUUG